CGGGCUUCCAGAACGGAUUGCGUUUGACAACCGAGGUUUGACUGUAGCAUGGAUACAUUGGGGGCUUAGAACUGGAAAGCAGUGUCAGAACAUUGUGUACAGAUAUAGUGACAUAAUUGGAACAUGGAGGAAUGUGUUUGCAUUUGGCAGGGGGGAGAGAGCUCCUCAGUUUCCCCCUCAGAAAUGAAGCCCUUGCUCCCCUUCCUCCCCCAGCGAAUAAUUCAACACCGAGCCUGCCCAAGCGCUUGUUUGCUGCAGUUCCGUAAAUCAUGCUCGUUUCUGUGCGUCCAUGUUUCCUUUGCCGUUUACACUCACUCCAGCAAGAGCCACCUUGCUUUUGUCUUGUGGAAUGCGGGCCUAGCGCUGGACUGACACCAUUAUUCACCUGCUCCAGAGCUGAGGAGAAUGGGCUUUGCUAGCAACCACCAGGAGCUAAUGAUUUAAAUGAUUACUCAAAGCGGACAAGCGGUAACUAUUGACAUUAAACAAGGUGCUUCCAUUGUUUGGGGUGUUUUAUUUUGGGUUUGGUUCCCCCUCCCCUCCCCUCCUCACCCAGUCUCUUCACAAGGUAGCUUGCCUGCAGGGACAACUCCACAGUAUGGCUACACAAGGAAAUGGCUGUCAGGAGAUGUGUCAACAAAAAGCCAUCAAUAAAGUGAGUCCUAGAAGCUUUGCGCAAGGAAGUCUGUUGAUAUAUUUCUAAAAGUUCUUAACUGUGCAGGCAAGAGCUCGUUCAUAUAAAGGAGGGCUGGGGAGCCAUCUGUCUGGGCCCUCAACACGUCCCCCAGGCCUCUCACGCCCCUUCUCACCAGACUGCAACCCUCACUAGCCUGCCCAGCCAUACAUAUCCAGAGUUGUUUCCAUGCAACCACAGUGCCAAGCUUUCAAGUUAAAUCCACGGUGGAUCCAGAGUAACGAUGUUUUUUUCCUCCUCUGAACAGUAACAUGGUUGUGUGGAGUGUACGUUUGACAUGUAGGAUCCUGCUCAGACUUGGACUGGCCAUUUGACAGUUCUGGCAAAUGCCACAUAGGCUGGUGAACACAGUAUUCAGACGGAUCAUGGAGGAGACUGCUCUCUCUCUCUCUCUCUCUCUCUCUCUGUGUGUGUGUGUGUGUGUGUGAACACAGUCCUUGAGUUUAUUUCUUGAAUUUUAAAAGGGCUUCUUUCUUUUCUUUGGCUGGCGUUUUGGCAAAUAGUGGAAGGAGGGAGAAAUUCUCACUAACCCAUCAGCCACACAGCAUGGAAAUAAUAAUAUUUAGCGUAUAUUAUGCUAACUGUGACAGUGCUUACACAAAGGGGUGGGGAAGUUGAAGUCUCACAGAAAGUGCAGAGCUGGAAGGGAUGUACUCCACAAAGCCCAAUACAGGACUUGCUUCCCAAUUACCUUGUUAAACUGAAGCACCUCAUUCAUUAAGCACAAGGCCAGGUUCAAGGUUCUUGUAUUAAUUUAAAAGGCCCUUUGCAACCUGGGUCCACAAUACCUCAAGGGCUGCCUGAUCCCUAUAUCCCUGCCUGAUCACUGGGUCUUCCGGGGAGUCACAGUUACUGGUCGCCCACAGCUCAGAUGCUUGGCUCCUAUCCACCAGGAGCCUGAUUCAGGAAGAUGCCCCAUGGAUCCCCAUGGAACUGUAUCUCAGAGAAAUGCCUUUUUCCACUGUGGAGAAAGAUGUUGAAGGGCAAACCUCAAGCCACACACAUUACAGUCAGAAGGAGAACAUACAUGGGACAGUUUCCUUCUCUUUUUUUAUGCUAGUUGUCUAUGGAAUCUUGUAGUCCAACUCCUUAUCUACCUCCUGUCUAAGGCACGCACAACAAACAACAGUUUUGAGAGGCACGGCCCUAAGGGGCAAAACUGAGGGAAACAAAGAGCGGCAGAUCUAAACUUUAUUUGGACACUGGAGGUGUCAAAGAAGAAAUGAGCAACUGCUUCCUCUCUUGUGUCAAUCUUCGCUUACUGUGCCUUUUAUUUUUGGUAGGCAAAUUGCGUUUCCCCCUGACUUUCUGAGACCAGGCAUUUCCUGAUGUUUCCUUUUCUUCAGGGGAAAGCAGGGGUUUUGUGUUUUGUUUGGUUUUUUUUGUUUUGCCUUGAUGCCCAUUUCAUGGAAUGUUUCCUUCCCCUUUACCCACCUUUCUUUUUCUGCAAACAGGGAUUUUCUGUGCCAACAAUAACUUCCAGCUCCUCACUUUGCCAGCUCCUUGUCCUUGUGGUACAAAGGCCCCAAGUGCUUUGUGUGUCUAUGUAGUCUCCCCCCCUCCGUUCCCCCCACAACACACCAUUCCGCUUCAAAUCAGUUCCUUGUGUGCCUUAUGUGCACAUAUUAUGGGCCAGUCUCAGGGCAGCAUCGUCUAAAGAAGCCGACUGAAGCUCACCGGUUCCUUUCACUCCCUUUUUAAAGUAAAAAGAUACUUUAGGAAAACAGGAAGAAAGGAAUCCCUUUGACCAGAAAUAUUCCUGAGAAUGUCGAGAUGUAAUUGACUCUGCCUUUGCUAUGUUUCCAAAAUUAUAAUUCAUUUCUUAAAGAGUUGAUUCACAUGAUCCUUUGGGAAUGUUUCAAACUGGGUCAAAAUCUUGCUCAUCCAUUUGGAACGAGAGUCCAUCUACCUUAUUUCAAGCAAUCUGCUGCUGGGUAAGGCCAGGAGAGGGCUGUGUUUUGAGUUGCUCCCUGCCCCAACUUUCACCCCCCCCACAAGAAACUACAGUAAGCCCCCAAUUUAUGUGGGGGCUACGUUCCAGGGAUCAUGCCUAAACCCAAUAUCAUACUUGGUCAAAACCCAUUGGGUUCAAUGGUGGGUAGGACUGUCAAAGUCAUUUUCUCAGAAACCCCACCACUUUAAAAAUAAAACAAAACAUUUUUUUACCAGGUGCAUAAAGCUGAAUGUGCUCAUUAAAUGCAUGUAAGCUGCAAGCUUAUUGUAUUCCUCUUCAAACUGGAAUUGGAUUUUUAAAACUGUAACAUGUGUAACCUCUGCAGAAUAGCACAACGCCCACCUAAAGGGAUCAAAGUUGUAACUCUGAGAUACCAUCUUGCUGUUAGCCCUAAAGACUUGCUCCCUGCCUUGCAGGCCUUUUCUACCUGGUCAGGGAAGGUGGGACUGUGGCUGACUCCAGCUCCAAAAACUGAGGCUGCUGAACAGACUUUUGGGCUGGGGUAUUGCUGGUGGGGUUUUGUUGGGUUCCCCCCACCCCUACCCCCCUGCUUUUUGUUGUUGUUGAUUUUUUUGUAUCUUUAUUUUUAAAUCUUAUAAUGAUUUGUGUGGAAAUUGUUCGAUUAUUGUUGUGUACUUGUUGAUGUGUUUUGUUUGUUGUUUCUGGCUACUUUCAUUAUGCUUGUAAUAAUGUAAACAUUUUCUCAUUGUAAGCUGCCUUGAGCAUGGUUUUAACUAUGGCAAGGCGGCAUACAAAUUAAAUGAUGAUGGUGAUGAUGAUGAUAUGCCCAAGCCAAGGAGGUUGCAUGUGGACCUUCCGUUGAGAAUGGUUUGCUGAAGCCAUCCUGAGGAUGCAGUUUUGGAGUGCUGGGCAAACGUGUUGUGGCUUUUCUUACAUCCCAUCAACACGGGUGUAAAUUAAAACAGGACCCACCUGCAUUUUGAACAGUAGGGCUCAGACCCAGGAUAUGAGCAUAAUAUUAAAACAGGCAGUGCUUUUAAUACAAGUGCUUUGGAUACAAGUGAGGGAGAAAAUUGGCUCAGUUUCCUUUUGAAGGUGACUCUACCUCAUCGACCCUUCCUGAAAGAGAACAUCAACUGAAACACAUUCAUCCUCCGAAAGCCGCACAUUUUGCAGUUCAGAAUUCAACCAAAUAAUGUGCACAUAAGUUCAUAUACCAGGUAAAGUGCGCAUUAAAUGCAUACUUUAAUGAAAUUAUUUAUUAAUGAUGAAAUUAUUGGGAAAUAUUAAUAUUAAAUUAAUAUUAAAUAAAGGUUAAAUUAAUAUUAUUAAAGGUAAAGGGACCCCUGACCGUUAGGUCCAGUCGUGAACAACUCUGGGGUUGCGGUUGCCCAUCUCGCUUUAUUGGCCGAGGGAGCCGGCAUACAGCUUCCAGGUCAUGUGGCCAGCAUGACUAAGCCGCUUCUGGUAAACCAGAGCAGCGCACGGAAACACCGUUUACCUUCCCGCCGGAGCGGUUCCUAUUUAUCUACUUGCACUUUGACGUGCUUUUGAACUGCCAGGUUGGCAGGAGCAGGGACCGGGCAACGGGAGCUCACCCCGUCGCGGGGAUUCGAACCGCUGACCUUCUGAUCGGCAAGUCCUAGGCUCUGUGGUUUAACCCACAGCACCACCCGCACCCCUAAAUAAAUUAAUAUUAUUAGGGAAAUAUUUAAAAGCAUUUGCAAACUUAUGUGGCGAACUGAGUUUAAGACUGGAAAAAUGAGAAGCUCCAAUUGACUUGACCCCAGCAGAGGACCAUCCCCUCAUCACAGAGAGACACUUCAGAUGUUCUAGAAUGAGGCUGAUCAUGAAACACAAAUGCCCUGUACUUCCUGUUUCCUUCACUUCUGUGCGGAAGGGAGGUGGGAAAGAUCAAUUUUGCAUAGUGCAGAGAAGCCCAAGGAACUGAAAGGGUGAGCCACUUCUCAUCUCCUCCCCAUCCCAUCCAUUGUAUAAGAUCCAAAGUCUAAAAGAAACGAUGGCCACCAGUCUCCAUGCACCUGAGCUUAAGGCAGAGCUUUUGGGUCAAACAAUUGUGACCUCUAGGCUGGCUGGAGCCCUGGCAUGUUAGACUUUGGGUUGAACUCUAACCAACUGUAAAGCAAAUUUGCAGGUACAUUUUAUAUUUUUAAAUUCAUUCGUUUUACAUUUAAUCAGCAGGUUACUUAUUAGGAAAAACAUGCCCAGUUCAUGGCCGUGAUGUAAUUUAUCUAAAAAUUUGAUUAAAGAGUCCCGCCCCCAUCCCACCCCCGUGCACACCAACACAACCCAGAACAGCCAUUUCAAAUGCGACAAGCAAAUCAUUGGAAAAGGAGGCUUGGCUCAAUAAAUUCUAUGAAGUCUGACCAACCCUGAUGUUGUCUGAUAAGGCGGCUCGAAGACAAGACAGGCCUAUCAAUUGAGUCAGGCCAGCUAGCCAGGUUGUCAUCUUGAGAAAGUAAAGCCAGGCAAUGCAAUGGGGGAAGGAUUGCAUCAGAAGGCAAGCAUCCUGACCCUAAGCUUGCUUACUCAGAAGAAGUCGGUUUCAGCCAGUUCAAAAGGACUUACUUCCGAGGAAGUGCUUGCAGGACUGCUGCUUAUGUUGAAAUAGCUGUAUUGGGAAAGUGUGGGACUGGAGAUCUGAAGGUCCCUAGAACCUUCCUUUGUUUCAGCAAAUUGUAUUUUCCUUGUAAAACAAGUUUUUUGAGAGGCAGUGUAGUGUAGUAGUAAGAGGGUUGGACAGGUCUGUGAACAGAGACAUCUGCCAGUUUCCUCUUUUCCUCAUUUCUCCAGGCUUAAAAUCACUUUAUUCUAUUUGCAAAAAUUUCUUUUAAAAAUCUGCACAAAAACCCAGAUGCAUUUUUGUUCUGAUUUCUCCAAAAAAUGUGUUUUUGUAUGCAAUUUGACCUCAAGCAUUUCCCCUAACAUUAUGUGUAGCAUUGCACAUUGUUUUCACUUUUAUGUGGAGAUAUUCCAGUCCAUAUCUGUUUUGCAUUAGAACUUAUUUCUAAAUAUGUUGUGUGUAUGUGUGUGUGUGAAAUUAGUUUGAUAGGUUGUGUAGGAAAUGAUUUCUAAAUGGAAAUAAAUAGUACAUGCAUUUUUGUGAACCCUGUUUGGCUGGAGCAGGGCACCACAAAGGCUCACUUCCUGGUUCAGGAAGUACAAAUCAGUUGUAGGUCCCCAUGAAAAUGCGAGCGGAACAAGUUCUUCCCCUAUUCCUAGACUGGACAUGGUUGGACAGGGCUGCUGAGGCCUAGUUUUAGAUCCCCAUUCAGGCAUAAAGCUCAGGAACGACCUUGAGCCAGUUGUCAUCUCUCAGCCUAAUCUACUUCAGAGAGGGCAAUGGAGGCUGAUCUGCUAUGUAUAUGCUUCAGAGAAAAAUUGAGGUUUUGCAUUCCUGUUUUUCCUUAGGUUUAAAAAAUGCUCCGGGAGAACAGGAAGCUGAACCAGAUGGGCCCCUGGCCUGACCCAACAGAACCUUCCACUGCAGUCAUUAUAUGAUGUACUGUUUAUACAAAGGAUACCUGUUGUGGAAUCACUUUAUUAAAUACAAAAAGAGAGCAAAUGAUUGGCCCAAAGUCACACAGUGAGUUUCAUGGUUGAUUUUAACCCUGACCUCCAAGGUCUGCUUAAUACCCACCUUAUUCCAAAUUUGGGGCGGGGGGGGGGGAGAUGUAGAAGUUAAUAAGCUGGGGGAGGGGAAUGAUAUUUUUCCGUACAUCUGGAAAUGGAUGGGUUUCCAUGUUAAAACAGUCCUUUAAGAUUAACCAAUUCAAGCUGCAAUCCUGUGGAUGUGGGUCAUGGAAUUCAGUGGGGCUUACUUCUGAGUAAUGUACAGCAUGAAAUUGCAACAGGAGGGACCCCUUCUAUACCAAAGUAAGGCAAUUUUCAUUUGAGUCGGGUCGUAUUGGUAAAUUUUCAGUAGCUUUGCAAGGAAGGGAGAAUACCAGAAUAACUUAGCUGAACCCUUGUGAGUGCUCAUUGGUCACACCCCAUGACCUUCAAGCACCGCCCCCCUGCCGCCACCAGCCGCCACUGGCCUAGGGUGCCAAGUGCUGGCACCAGGCCUGUUGGGGGUGCUGAGAAAAAAUGUUGCUCCACCAUGAGUAGAAGGAGAAAGCAAAGUAACCAUCAGCGGAGUGUUUGUGUGAAUCAGCCCACAUAGACGCACCUCCAGCUAACACAAAGGUACACUAGCCACAGAACACUGUUGUGUGUCCACAACACCGUAAACAAAUAGCCCAUAAAUCAUUCCUCCACCAACUUAAAAGGGAGGGAAGCGCAGCCCUUUGUAAAAGCUCGACUUGCCAGCCUUUAAUUGACAGAAUCCAUUAAUAAUGUUUUCCAGCCGCUCCUCGUUCAGCACUCUAACCCCCUUUUAAAAGUCCUGUCAUGUUAAAAAUUGACAUGUGUUGACUUUGGCCUGCGAAAGCCCGAGUGCUGGUUGUAGGUAGGAACUUUGGGUGUUUAGUCUGGCUUGCAUUUUAUUUUUCCCUUUCAUCAAAUUAGUUCAGCUGUAGUUUUUAAAAAAGAGAGAAGAGAAGGAAAACGGCUUUACAAUCUGAGGCUCUGGCUCGGGAUUGCAGCAUCCCACCCCCACACCUUAAAACGCAAACAAAAAAGACGCUUACAAAUGUUGCGUGAUGCAUGCAUAAGAAUGGGAAAUGGCCAGCCAUGAGAGAAAGGGAGGCACGUGAACCUGACUGCGUGGAAGCAACACCUCUUUUCAGAGAAGUGUAGGAGACUCCAUUUCCCUAAUGCACAACUGUCACUGUUUGUUUUAAAAACCUGAGGGCACUUCCUAGCCAAACCAAAGCACUUUGAAGUCCCGUUGGUUUCCGUGGAGAGAUUUAAUCUCAUAUUUAAUUUUCCCAUUGAAAUCCAUGAAGGGGCGAGGCGUGUGCAAUUAGGCAUAGUGUGGAGAGAGUGGAUAGGGAGACCAUUUUCUCCCCCUCUCAUGAUACUAGAACUGUCGGCCAUCCAAGGAAGCUGAGGAGGAUUCGGGACAGAAAAAGCAAGCAGAUUUUCUCGAAGCACAUGGAACUUGGUCCCACAGGACGCAGUGAUGGCCACCAGCUUGGAUGGCUUCGAAAGAGGGUUAGACAAAUUCAUGAAUGAUCUCGAUGGCUGUGUUCGUCCUCCAGUUUCAGAGAAAACAGGCCUCUGAAUACCAGUGGCUUGGAAUCACAAGUGCAUGGGAGUUCUGUUGCACAAAGGUCCUGAGUGUGGGAUCUCUAUGGGCAUCUGAUUGGCUAUGGUGAGAACAGGAUACUGGAAAAGGUGGAUUUUAGGUGUGAUCCUGCAAGGCUCUUAUGUUCUUAAUACUAGUUCUCUUUGCAGCAGUGAAUGAACCCAUGACAUAAUUUGUUUUAGUCUAUUCUAUUGUGGUUUAAACUUUCUGUAUGUUUUAAAUUAUAGUAGUGAUGAAUUUAUUGUUUUAUCUUUGUUUGUAAACUUUUAAGGGUUUUUUUUCUACCAGCAAUUGGUAUAUAAUUUUUUAUGAAAUGCAUAUAUAAAAUAGAUCACUUAAAUUAAUGGGAGGAAUUCAGUGGUUGGCAUCCGUCUGUCUUGGGAGACAAUGGAGAAGUGCACCCUUUGGGCGUGAAAUCAAACUAUUGGAAAAUUACAGCGCCUGCUGUGGCUGUAGAAACACAUGCAGGAGAGACAUGUUUUGUCGCAGCCGAGACAGAUGAAGGCAUCCGGUUAUGCUGAUGCAGAUGCACCAUGGCGUUUCUUCUCUCUGUACUCUUCCCAGCGGUCAUUCCUCCUCUGGUCAUUGCUGUGGACGUGUGAUCUGACUGUUUGCCUCCAGGCACUGCAGUCAUCUGCAAGGGAUUCCCACACGGUGGGGAUGUUCAAUGGUAGCAUUAAGGAAAUGGCUCUGUCAGCCCGAGCAUUUCUGCUUGCCUAAUAGAACAGUCUUCUCUCUCCCUUCAUGUGCUGAUCUGGGUUUUUCCAAACCCCCACAGCCAGAAUCAUUUGGAGGGCACAGGAGACACAGAGGGGGAAAAGCAGGGGGAGUUCUGUUGGGCUGGCAGAAAUCAUUGCAUGGGCUUCUACUAGUGGGACUGGUUGGUCGAAUCAGGAGAGAAUCAAGGUAGAUUAGGUACAGGUACACUUAUUGAAAAAAAGGUGUGCCUUGUAUUAUUUACAGGGAUUAUUAAAAUAAAUCAAGGGUGUUUGGCUGUAAUCCUUAAACACAUUUACUUAGCAAUAAGCCACAUUGAAUUCAAUAGGCCUUGCUUCUUUAAAAAAUAAAUUGAAUAUUUCUUAAUUUUACUUGUCAGAAAAUUUAAAAAUAAAAUAAAGCAGAUGAAAAGGGUGAGUUACUAGCACAACAGGUUUAUGGCAACUUAGUGACUAAACAUACUGAAUGGAAAUUCUGAGUACUUGAGAAUAUAAGAUGAGCCUGGCUGGAUCGGACCCAUGGCCCAUCUAGUCCAGCAUCCUGUUCUCACAGUGGCCAACCAGAUGUGGGGGAAGCUUGCAAGCAGGAACUGCAGAUUAACAUGCAUAGGAUCUCACUGAUAAUUUUAACGAAUUUUUAUUUCUGCUGAAUAUUGAAGUGUAUGGCAAAUAACAUUUAGGGUACGAUGGCGACAGUGUUAUUUUUAGCUUAUUUUUAAAUAGGAUCUGAUUAAUUGGAUUAUUUUAUGCUAUUGUAAACCACACGACACAUGAUUCAGCCAAAGUUAAUGUCACAUUGGUUUUAAUGGGAGAGACGGAAGCAUGUGCUUAACUUGCCACUUGAAAUCUGAAGGACUUAAAAGGGCUUAAUUUUGGUAGGUUGUGUCCGUAUAAUUUUUGUGAAAUAUGUGGAAGUGUAUUAAAAUAAAUAAACUGAGGAAAUUAUCUGAAGUAUAUUUAUCUGUAUUUUAAAGUUUGGCAUCUCAGUAUACUAACUAAUAUUUUAUUUUUUAAUGAAUAAGUUGAGAUCUAACCUUCUUUGGCAACUUUUAAGCAAUUGACAGUGUAAACCUUAUAUGAUCUCCUUUAUCAUUUGCUCUAUGUGAUCUGCAUAUGUGAAUUCUUUUAUUUUUGUUUGAAUUUGUCUUGAUUUCCAUAUAUUGAACUCACGUUACCAGUGAAAUUUCUAUAUCAUAUUUGGAUAGGGUUGGGUUUUUUGUUUUACAUCUUAGUUCUUUUUUUUCUUUUCUUUUUUAAGAAAAGCUUGGCUUUUAAAAAAGUCGAUGGGCUCAUCCAUACUACUCUUUAAUGUGGAUAGUAAGCUUCUUGUACCUCCCUCAAAUUUCCGCUGGUCAUAUGACAUUCUCCUCCAAAUCAUUGCCUCCCAUAGCUUUUGCCUCCCUCAGUCUGGAUUUUCUUAUAUCUUCCCCUUUUCAGAGUAUCCCUGGUAUGACAAAAUCCGAACUGAGGGAGGGGAAAGUGAGGGAAGGCAAUAAAUUGACCAAUGGAGAAUUAAUGGAGGAAGAGGAAGCUUUUGAAGGUGCCUGCUCUUUUUCGUAGGUACUUAUUUUCUGACGCUCAUAAGGUAUAAAAUGGGUACAUUUCCCCUGCAAAACCAUUUGGAUAUCAAAAGUGGGGUUUAAUAUGCUCAUUGGGACCUUGGAAAACCAUUUCCUAAUCUUCUUUGUGGAGCAUUCCACAAAAAGGACACGUUGUGAUAAACACAGGACAGCUGAUCUCUCUGUAACAUGUAGUAAAACCUACCAGGUUCCUCAUAUUACACUGAUUGUCUCCAUCCCUACCCACUGUCACUGGUGGCAAUGCAUGGGCAGGGCUAACCCUUUCACUAGGAAGAGUGGCAGCCGCCUCAGGUGUCCAGUUCUGGGCACCACAGUUCAAGAAGGACACUGACAAACUGGAACGUGUCCAGAGGAGGGCAACCAAAAUGGUCAAAGGCCUGGAAACGAUGCCUUAUGAGGAACGGCUAAGGGAGCUGGGCAUGUUUAGCCUGGAGAAGAGGAGGUUAAGGGGUGAUAUGAUAGCCAUGUUCAAAUAUAUAAAAGGAUGUCACAUAGAGGAGGGAGAAAGGUUGUUUUCUGCUGCUCCAGAGAAGCGGACACGGAGCAAUGGAUCCAAACUACAAGAAAGAAGAUUCCACCUAAACAUUAGGAAGAACUUCCUGACAGUAAGAGCUGUUCGACAGUGGAAUUUGCUGCCAAGGAGUGUGGUGGAGUCUCCUUCUUUGGAGGUAUUUAAGCAGAGGCUUGACAACCAUAUGUCAGGAGUGCUCUGAUGGUGUUUCCUGCUUGGCAGGGGGUUGGACUCGAUGGCCCUUGUGGUCUCUUCCAACUCUAUGAUUCUAUGAUUCUAUGAUUCUAAGAGAUGCUAGAGGGCAGGCUGUGUUGGAGGACAGAGCUGUGUCUGCCCUAUGGCUUGCCCUGUGCCCCUUAACCUAGUCUGUUGCCCUCAGGUACAGAGAGGAGCGCUGAAGCAAGAGUCUUUGUGUGGAAUGAGAGGAGAGGGGCGCUAUCUUUUCCUUCACCUCAGACAGCAGAGCAUCUUGGCCUGACACUAGAGGAAAUCCACAGCAUGAUGAAAUCAUUUACAGAGAGAAAAGCCAUGGCACAGGCUGACAUUUUGGCAGCAGCCCUCUGUUUAUUUACUACUUUAUCUAUUUCCAUUUCUGAAUGGCUUCCUAUGAAACAUUGCUGUUAAAUAAAAGCAUCAACAAUUAAAACAUAUAUAAGACAAUGUCAUGCAUAGGAACAAUUUCAAAUCCAUUGCAUACUGGGAUAAAAAUAUGCACUUAAAAGGUUGCUUGAGAAAGGAAUGACUUCAAUGGGUGCAAAAAAAAUAAAAAAUAGAGAUGGCACCUGUGUGAUAUGUUGUGGGAAAGCCUGAUUCCAACAUUCAUGGAAUCAUAGAACUGCAGAGUUGGAAGGGACCCCGAGGGUCAUCUAGUCCAACCCCCUGCGAAGCAGGAAUCUCAGCUAAAGCAUCCAUGACAGAUGGCCAUCCAACCUCUGUUUAAAAACCUUCAACAAUCCAUCACUUCUCAUGAGAGUCUGUUCCACUGUCAAACAGUUCUUACUGACAGAAAGUUCUUCCUGAUGUUUAGUCUGAAUUUCCUUUCUUGUAACUUGAAACCAUUGGUUUGGGUCCUACCCUCCAGAGCAGGAGAAAACCAUCUUCCAUGUCAUAGAAUCAUAGAAUCAUAGAAUCAUAGAGUUGGAAGAGACCACAAGGGCCAUCGAGUCCAACCCCCUGCCGAGCAGGAAACACCAUCAGAGCACUCCUGACAUAUGGUUGUCAAGCCUCUGCUUAAAGACCUCCAAAGAAGGAGACUCCACCACACUCCUUGGCAGCAAAUUCCACUGUCGAACAGCUCUUACUGUCAGGAAGUUCUUCCUAAUGUUUAGGUGGAAUCUUCUUUCUUGUAGUGACAUUGUAUGGAAUGAAUCUCCUGAUGAGAUGUUACCAGUGAUCAGUUGGGCAUACAGUCAUACCUAGGAUCUCAAACGCCUUGGUACUCGUCCGUUUUGGCUCCCAAACGCCGCAAACCUGGAAGUGAGUGUUCCGGUUUGUGAACGUUUUUUGGAAGCCAAACAUUCAACACAGCUUCCGCAGUUUCUGAUUGAGUGCAGGAAACUCCUGCAGCCAAUCGGAAGCGUGCCUUGGUUUUCGAAUGCUUCCAGAACAGAUUCCGUUAGAGAGCCAAGGUAUGGCUGCAUAAUGAUAUUUUAGGUAUCCUUUUUAUCAUUCAAUGUGGUUUAUCCCUGAAGACCCAGCUCUUGCUUUUUCCCUUUCCUUCCUUAACUGAUGAGCAGCCACCCUGCAAGCCCUCACUUUUGUGGGCGACCCCUUGCUGAUAGCACUUUAAUUUAACGUGUGCAUGCCAGGGCCCAAGUGAUGUCAUAUUAGUUUAGGAAGCGUAGCCUGUGUUGUGCGGGCAGCUUAACUGGUCUGAAAGUUGUGUGGUUCAAGCAAACAGCAGGAUUUAUGUUACGCAUGUCCUGUUCUUCCCAGGCAAGCCAGAAUAUCUGCGUAGUGAUGGCUGGGAGGAUACAGGUUGCUAUUUUAGAGCCAAGUGGAAUGGCGUUUCUGAAACUUCAGGAAGUUAAUAACAUGCUCAUGUCAUCGUGCUGCCGCUUUCAAAUUGAAUCCUUCUCUUCUCGGCUCAGGGGAGAUGAGAGAUUCCGUCACAGAAAGCAGAGUUGGAAAUAACAAUGGAAAACCCCGGUGAGCAAAUGACCUUGGAAAGGAGGGCGAGACCAGACUGCUAGCAACCCACCUCUUGCGAGGGAACAUGGAGGACCAGAUAGGCCCGCUGGCUCCUGCUUGAACCCAGAGGUCAGUACAAGAUGCUGGCUUUAAAAUGCUGGGGCUAUAAAGAGGAUCUGACAAAGGAGGAGGUCACUUAAGAGAUUAAAAAUGCACAGACAGUUUUGCAGCCCCAUUCAUUCCUCAGUGUUUCGUGAGUGAAGAUCUUUUCACAUAUCUCUGAAUGCCAGUUGUCUCAGGAAGUGAUGUAGCAUCUCUUUGGGUCUAAGAGUAUAUGCCACCACAAUCUCCAAGCGAUGCAAGAUCCCAGGGGUUCCAGGGGCUGACCCAGGGUUUGUGUUACCUUUGGAAAUGAGGCACAGCAGAGACUGUGGUGUCUCUAUGAGAUAUGGUUUAUUACACAUAUAAACAACUUGAGCCUAUGAUGCAGGGGUUCACAGUGUUACAACCCCAAAAGGAUCUUGUUUCUGCCAGGCAUUCUUCUCCCAGUUUGCUGCUUUAUAUCUAGCUUCUAGUUCACAUCACUUCACUCUCUGCUCUGAACUCUCGCUUUGUCCUUCUAACUACCUGGAGUUGAGGGAGUUCGCCCCAAUCAUUUACUGUCUCACACAGAGCCUCUUUCCUUUGUCCCCCUUAAUGGCCCAUCACCCAUGCGAUCACCUCAUCAGGAGGCUAGCCUGAC